rnacentral:rRNA from 1 species
AUAAAGAUAUCUGGAGGCAUCUUUAGAUAUUUAAAGUUUCGGCGGUACGGGAUGGGCAUGCGUAACAUUAGCUAGUUGGUAGGGUAACGGCCUACCAAGGCAACGAUGUUUAGGGGUCCUGAGAGGGUGAUCCCCCACACUGGUACUGAGACACGGACCAGACUCCUACGGGAGGCAGCAGUGAGGAAUAUUGGUCAAUGGACGGAAGUCUGAACCAGCCAUCCCGCGUGCAGGAAGAAGGCGCUAUGCGUUGUAAACUGCUUUUCCAGGGGAAGAAAACCUGCUACGUGUAGUGGUUUGCCGGUACCCUGGGAAUAAGCAUCGGCUAACUCCGUGCCAGCAGCCCGCGGUAAUACGGAGGAUGCGAGCGUUAUCCGGAUUUAUUGGGUUUAAAGGGUGCGUAGGCGGACCGAUAAGUCAGUGGUGAAAACCUGCAGCUUAACUGUAGAUUGAUACUGUCGGACUUGAGUGUGGUCAA